rnacentral:rRNA from 1 species
UGGCGGACGGGUGAGUAACGGCGUGGGGAACCUGCCCUGUACAGGGGGAUAACACGUUAGAAAUAGGUGCUAAUACCGCAUAAGCGCACAGUAUCGCAUGAUACAGUGUGAAAAACUACCGGUGGUACAGGAUGGACCCGCGUCUGAUUAGCUGGUUGGCGGGGGUAACGGCCCACCAAGGCGACGAUCAGUAGCCGGCCUGAGAGGGUGAACGGCCACAUUGGGACUGAGACACGGCCCAAACUCCUACGGGAGGCAGCAG